CUACGGGAUGCACCAGUGAGGAAUUUUGCGCAAUGGGGGCAACCCUGACGCAGCAACGCCGCGUGAGUGAAGAAGGCCUUUGGGUCGUAAAGCUCUGUCAACAGGGAAGAAGUUACUCCAUAUUAAUAGUAUGUAGUAUUGACGGUACCUGUGGAGGAAGCAUCGGCUAACUCCGUGCCAGUAGCCGCGGUAAUACGGGGGAUGCAAGCGUUAUUCGGAAUCAUUGGGCGUAAAGGGCACGCAGGCGGCUCUGUCAGUCAGAUGUGAAAGCCCGGGGCUCAACCCCGGACGUGCAUUUGAAACAGCAGAGCUUGAGUACGGUAGAGGAAAGCGGAAUUCCUGGUGUAGAGGUGAAAUUCGUAGAUAUCAGGAGGAACACCGGUGGCGAAGGCGGCUUUCUGGACCGAAACUGACGCUGAGGUGCGAAGGCGUGGGUAGCGAACAGGAUUAGAUACCCGAGUAGUC
rnacentral:rRNA from 1 species